GGCAAUGUAAAGCUCAAGCUGCAGCUUGCACCAGAAGGGAUCCUGCCCUCUGUCUGAGGUGCCAGCAUCCUGGAAGAGGAAUCUGCCACAUAGAAGGACCUACCAAAGCUGGUUUGUAAAGGAGGAGAGGGGGCACUGAACAACUCUUCACCAGGGGCACCACUGUCCCUAAUGUCUGGCCUGAACUGUGAUGCAGCUACGUAUGCAAGAUCAGCUGAUUUUUAACACACCAGUCAGAAUGCAUACUUUAAAUUGUGGUACACUAUGCAACUCUUGCUUCACCACCACCAUGUACCUCUGUCAAAUAGAACAAGAGCAGCUGCAUCAUAAAUCAUUUGGUACAACAUUAGUAAAGUCUUUGUAUCAGGCCACAGUUACAGAAUAAAUGUUUCCCCCUUUGAAA